GGGGUUGUGGCUCAGAGGUAGAGUGUUUGCCUAACAUGCAUGAGGCACUGAGUGUGAUCCUCAGCAACACACA
rnacentral:tRNA from 1 species